rnacentral:rRNA from 1 species
GACGAACCGUGCGAACGUUGUUCGGAUUCACUGGGCUUAAAGGGCGCGUAGGCGGGUCAUCAAGUCAGGAGGGAAAUCCUUCGGCUCAACCGGAGAAGCGCUUUUGAUACUGGUGAUCUCGAGGGGUGUAGGGGCAUGUGGAACUUCCGGUGGAGCGGUGAAAUGCGUAGAUAUCGGAAGGAACGCCGGUGGCGAAAGCGACGUGCUGGACACCUUCUGACGCUGAGGCGCGAAAGCCAGGGGAGCAAACGGG